UGGGGAAUAUUGGACAAUGGGGGCAACCCUGAUCCAGCCAUGCCGCGUGAGUGAUGAAGGCCUUAGGGUUGUAAAGCUCUUUCACCGGUGAAGAUAAUGACGGUAACCGGAGAAGAAGCCCCGGCUAACUUCGUGCCAGCAGCCGCGGUAAUACGAAGGGGGCUAGCGUUGUUCGGAAUUACUGGGUGUAAAGCGCACGUAGGCGGAUUGUUAAGUCGAGGGUGAAAAUCCCAGGGCUCAAACCCUGGAACUGCCUUCGAUACUGGCAUUCUUGAGUCCGAGAGAGGUGAGUGGAAUUCCGAGUGUAGAGGUGAAAUUCGUAGAUAUUCGGAAGAACACCAGUGGCGAAGGCGGCUCACUGGCUCGGAACUGACGCUGAGGUGCGAAAAGCGUGGGGGAGCAAAACAGGAUUAGAUACCCUGGUAGUCCACGCCGUAAAACGAUGGGGUGCUAGCCGUUGGGCAGCUUGCUGUUCAGUGGCGCCGCU
rnacentral:rRNA from 1 species